rnacentral:rRNA from 3 species
AGGAGUGGAGCCUGCGGCUUAAUUUGACUCAACACGGGAAACCUCACCAGGCCCGGACACCGGAAGGAUUGACAGAUUGAGAGCUCUUUCUUGAUUCGGUGGGUGGUGGUGCAUGGCCGUUCUUAGUUGGUGGAGCGAUUUGUCUGGUUAAUUCCGAUAACGAACGAGACUCUAGCCUGCUAACUAGGCGUAUUUUGACAUCCUAAAGGCCCGCCGGCUCGGGGUUCGCUCCUUGUCGUGCGCGGUUUUUACUGUCGGCGUACUAACAAUUCUUCUUAGAGGGACAGGCGGCUUCUAGCUGCACGAGAUUGAGCAAUAACAGGUCUGUGAUGCCCUUAGAUGUUCUGGGCCG